rnacentral:rRNA from 1 species
GACGAACGCUGGCGGCGUGCUUAACACAUGCAAGUCGAACGGUGAUCUUGAGAGCUUGCUCUUGGGUGAUCAGUGGCGAACGGGUGAGUAACACGUGAGUAACCUGCCCCUGACUCUGGAAUAACUUCGGGAAACCGAAGCUAAUACCGGAUAUGACACAGAGCCGCAUGGUUUCUGUGUGGAAAGUUUUUCGGUUGGGGAUGGACUCGCGGCCUAUCAGCUUGUUGGUGAGGUAAUGGCUCACCAAGGCGACGACGGGUAGCCGGCCUGAGAGGGCGACCGGCCACGACUGGGACUGAGACACGGCCCAGACUCCUACGGGAGGCAGCAGUGGGGAAUAUUGCACAAUGGGCGAAAGCCUGAUGCAGCGACGCCGCGUGAGGGAUGAAGGCCUUCGGGUUGUAAACCUCUUCAGUAGGGAAGAAGCGCAAGUGACGGUACCUACAGAAGAAGCACCGGACUAACUACGUAGCCAGCAGCCGACGGUAAAACGUGUGUGUACG